rnacentral:rRNA from 1 species
GCAUCUACAGGGGGAUAACUGAUGGAAACGUCAGCUAAGACCGCAUAGGUGUAGAGAUCGCAUGAACUCUAUAUGAAAAGUGCUACGGGACUGGUAGAUGAUGGACUUAUGGCGCAUUAGCUGGUUGGUAGGGUAACGGCCUACCAAGGCGACGAUGCGUAGCCGACCUGAGAGGGUGACCGGCCACACUGGGACUGAGACACGGCCCAGACUCCUACGGGAGGCAGCAGUAGGGAAUUUUCGGCAAUGGGGGAAACCCUGACCGAGCAACGCCGCGUGAAGGAAGAAGUAAUUCGUUAUGUAAACUUCUGUCAUAGAGGAAGAACGGUGGAUAUAGGGAAUGAUAUCCAAGUGACGGUACUCUAUAAGAAAGCCACGGCUAACUACGUGCCAGCAGCCGCGGUAAUACGUAGGUGGCGAGCGUUAUCCGGAAUUAUUGGGCGUAAAGAGGGAGCAGGCGGCACUAAGGGUCUGUGGUGAAAGAUCGAAGCUUAACUUCGGUAAGCCAUGGAAACCGUAGAGCUAGAGUGUGUAAGAGGAUCGUGGAAUUCCAUGUGUAGCGGUGAAAUGCGUAGAUAUAUGGAGGAACACCAGUGGCGAAGGCGACGAUCUGGCGCAUAACUGACGCUCAGUCCCGAAAGCGUGGGGAGCAAAUAGGAUUAGAUACCCUAGUAGUCCACGCCGUAAACGAUGAGUACUAAGUGUUGGGAGUCAAAUCUCAGUGCUG